rnacentral:rRNA from 1 species
CCUACGGGAGUCAGCAGUGGGGAAUAUUGCACAAUGGGGGAAACCCUGAUGCAGCGACGCCGCGUGAGUGAAGAAGUAUUUCGGUAUGUAAAGCUCUAUCAGCAGGGAAGAAAAUGACGGUACCUGAUGAAGAAGCCCCGGCUAACUACGUGCCAGCAGCCGCGGUACUACGGAGGGUGCAAGCGUUAUCCGGAGUUACUGGGUGUAAAGGGAGCGUAGACGGCAGCACAAGUCUGGAGUGAAAUGCCGGGGCUUAACCCCAGAACUGCGUUGGAAACUGUGCAGCUAGAGUGCAGGAGAGGUAAGUGGAAUUCCUAGUGUAGCGGUGAAAUGCGUAGAUAUUAGGAGGAACACCAGUGGCGAAGGCGGCUUACUGGACUGUAACUGACGUUGAGGCUCGAAAGCGUGGGGAGCAAACAGGAUUAGAUACCCCAGUAGUC